UAAGACGGACCAUCCAAACGUUAUUCGGAAUUACUGGGCUUAAAGGGUGCGUAGGCGGCGCGGAUAGUUCGGUGUGAAAUCCCUCGGCUUAACCGAGGAAUGGCGCUGAAUACUACCGUGCUCGAGGAAGACAGAGGUAAGCGGAACAGCGGGUGGAGCGGUGAAAUGCGUUGAUAUCCGCUGGAACACCGGUGGCGAAAGCGGCUUACUGGGUCUUUUCUGACGCUGAGGCACGAAAGCUAGGGUAGCGAACGGGAUUAGAUACCCCGGUAGUCCUAGCCGUAAACGAUGAGCACUUGACGGGAGACUCCUCCAUAGGUUUCCGGUCGUAGCGAAAGUGAUAAGUGCUCCGCCUGGGGAGUAUGGCCGCAAGGCUG
rnacentral:rRNA from 1 species